GACGAAGGAUGCAAGCGUUAUCCGGAUUCAUUGGGUUUAAAGGGUGCGUAGGCGGACUGAUAAGUCAGUGGUGAAAUCUCUCGGCUUAACCGAGAAACUGCCAUUGAUACUGUCAGUCUAGAGUAUAGAUGACGUUGGCGGAAUAUGACAUGUAGUGGUGAAAUACUUAGAUAUGUCAUAGAACACCGAUUGCGAAGGCAGCUAACGAAACUAUAACUGACGCUGAGGCACGAAAGUGCGGGGAUCAAACAGGAUUAGAUACCCUGGUAGUCCGCACCGUAAACGAUGAUUACUCGUUGUUGGCAAUAUGACCGUCAGCGACCAAGCGAAAGCGAUAAGUAAUCCACCUGGGGAGUACGCCGGCAACGGUGAA
rnacentral:rRNA from 1 species